rfam:Streptomyces fradiae strain ATCC 19609 contig0154, whole genome shotgun sequence.
CUUCAACGACCCCAACCACACCGGACGCCCACCAUCACGAUCCCGCCCAUACGUCCCCAGCAACGCCUGCGCCUC